AACCGGGGCUAAUACCGGAUGCUUGUUUGAACCGCAUGGUUCAAACAUAAAAGGUGGCUUCGGCUACCACUUACAGAUGGACCCGCGGCGCAUUAGCUAGUUGGUGAGGUAAUGGCUCACCAAGGCAACGAUGCGUAGCCGACCUGAGAGGGUGAUCGGCCACACUGGGACUGAGACACGGCCCAGACUCCUACGGGAGGCAGCAGUAGGGAAUCUUCCGCAAUGGACGAAAGUCUGACGGAGCAACGCCGCGUGAGUGAUGAAGGUUUUCGGAUCGUAAAGCUCUGUUGUUAGGGAAGAACAAGUACCGUUCGAAUAGGGCGGUACCUUGACGGUACCUAACCAGAAAGCCACGGCUAACUACGUGCCAGCAGCCGCGGUAAUACGUAGGUGGCAAGCGUUGUCCGGAAUUAUUGGGCGUAAAGGGCUCGCAGGCGGUUCCUUAAGUCUGAUGUGAAAGCCCCCGGCUCAACCGGGGAGGGUCAUUGGAAACUGGGGAACUUGAGUGCAGAAGAGGAGAGUGGAAUUCCACGUGUAGCGGUGAAAUGCGUAGAGAUGUGGAGGAACACCAGUGGCGAAGGCGACUCUCUGGUCUGUAACUGACGCUGAGGAGCGAAAGCGUGGGGAGCGAACAGGAUUAGAUACCCUGGUAGUCCACGCCGUAAACGAUGAGUGCUAAGUGUUAGGGGGUUUCCGCCCCUUAGUGCUGCAGCUAACGCAUUAAGCACUCCGC
rnacentral:rRNA from 1 species